CUUAUUACCUAUAGUAUAAUUUUAAAUUUGCAAUUCACAAAGUUAAGAUCAAUUACUUAAAAUGAAAAAUUGUUUUAUUUUGUGCGUGCUGUUAGCACUUGUCCACUUUAACUGGGCUGCUGUUUAUCGCAUUACAGACACGCAGAAUAUUAAUUACCCGGAUCAGUGUUACAUAAAUGAAAAUGAGAUCUAUGAAAAGGGUGCACAUAACAUACCAGGAAAAUGCCAUAUAAUAUUGUGUAAUUCAGAUUACAGCAUUGAAGUGCUUACUUGCGGAUUGGUAGUGGUUGAAGAAGGAUAUCAUAAUCAAGUUGAUUAUUCGAAAACCAUAUCCAGAAUGUUGUUAUAAUCCUGUCGAAGGUGGAAAGGAUGAAAUAGAUGAUGAUUAUCAAAAUUGAGAUUUCUGAAAAAAGUCAUGAAUUGAUAUUGUUACAUCUCGGUAUUUCUAAUAAAUUAAUUUGGGAUUGGAAGAAGAA